rnacentral:sRNA from 1 species
AACUUUUGUGCUUCUGGGCAGAGGUAUGGUCCUUGGGACAGUUCUCCUUCCACCUAAUAGUUAUGGCAGAGAUCAGGACACUUCACUUUGCUGCCUGUGCACUGAGGCCUCAGAAUCUGCUCUACCCGACUUAACAGAAGCUUUGCAUCGUCCCUAUGGUUGUGAUGUUGAACCCCAGGCACUAAAUGAGGCUAUCAGGUGGAGCUCCAAGGAGAACUUGCUCGGAGCCACUGAGAGUGACCCUAAUCUCUUCGUUGCACUUUAUGAUUUUGUAGCAAGUGGUGAUAACACACUCAGCAUCACUAAAGGUGAAAAGCUACGAGUCCUUGGUUACAACCAGAAUGGCGAGUGGAGUGAAGUUCGCUCUAAGAACGGGCAGGGCUGGGUGCCAAGCAACUACAUCACCCCAGUGAACAGCCUGGAAAAACACUCCUGGUACCAUGGACCUGUGUCACGCAGUGCAGCUGAGUAUCUGCUCAGCAGUCUAAUCAAUGGCAGCUUCCUGGUGCGAGAAAGUGAGAGUAGCCCUGGGCAGCUGUCCAUCUCGCUCAGGUACGAGGGACGUGUGUAUCACUACAGGAUCAAUACCACUGCAGAUGGCAAGGUGUAUGUGACUGCUGAGAGCCGCUUCAGCACCUUGGCAGAGCUUGUACACCAUCACUCUACAGUGGCUGAUGGGCUGGUGACAACAUUACACUACCCAGCACCCAAGUGUAAUAAGCCUACAGUCUAUGGUGUGUCCCCCAUCCACGACAAAUGGGAAAUGGAGCGAACAGAUAUUACCAUGAAGCACAAACUUGGGGGCGGUCAGUAUGGAGAGGUUUACGUUGGCGUCUGGAAGAAAUACAGCCUUACAGUUGCUGUGAAAACAUUGAAGGAAGAUACCAUGGAGGUAGAAGAAUUCCUGAAAGAAGCUGCAGUAAUGAAGGAAAUCAAGCAUCCUAAUCUGGUACAACUUUUAGGUGUGUGUACUUUGGAGCCACCAUUUUACAUUGUGACUGAAUACAUGCCAUACGGGAAUUUGCUGGAUUACCUCCGAGAAUGCAACCGAGAAGAGGUGACUGCAGUUGUGCUGCUCUACAUGGCCACUCAGAUUUCUUCUGCAAUGGAGUACUUAGAGAAGAAGAAUUUCAUCCAUAGAGAUCUUGCAGCUCGUAACUGCCUAGUGGGAGAAAACCAUGUGGUAAAAGUGGCUGACUUUGGCUUAAGUAGAUUGAUGACUGGAGACACUUAUACUGCUCAUGCUGGAGCCAAAUUUCCUAUUAAGUGGACAGCACCAGAGAGUCUUGCCUACAAUACCUUCUCAAUUAAAUCUGACGUCUGGGGUAAGGUUGAAAGGGACUUUUUUCUGUGUCAUUUUAUUUUAUUUUUUUUUAUAAAUGCCUUGAUUCUUUAGAGCUUCUCUUAUGAUGUUCAGUAUCCUCUACCUUUACCUGCCAUUCUUCUUCAGUUAUUCAGCAAGCAUUUGUUAAAUACCUCCUAUCUGCCAGGACUGUGUUAAGAACUUUGCAUAAGCAGAAGUAUAGGCCUGGUGUGGUGGCUCACGUUUGUAAUUAUAGCACUUUGGGCCGAGAUGGGUGGAUCACUUGAGGUCAAGAGUUCGAGACCAGCCUGGCCAACAUGGUGAACUCCCAUCUCUACUAACUACAAAAAUUAGCCAGGCGUGGUGGCAUGCGCCAGUAAUCCCAGCUAUUCAAGAGGCUGAAGGCUGAGGCAGGGGAAUUGCUUGAGCCUGGAGGGCAGAGGUUGCAGUGAGCCAAGAUGGCGCCACUGCACUCCAGCCUGGGCAAUAGAGCGAGACUCUGUCUAAAAAGAAAAAAAAAAAAAAAAAAAGUAUAAA